GCGACUUCCCGUCGAAACGU
rnacentral:miRNA from 1 species